rfam:Gossypium arboreum cultivar AKA8401 contig_6879_5, whole genome shotgun sequence.
GAUCCAUUGUGCGGACAUUUUUUAAUCAACAUUUUGAAGUGUUUCUACACCUCAUAGAAGCUUUCUCCUUCCAUCUAUCUAAAGACAAUAAUCUCUCUCCUUAAUUAGACU